rnacentral:lncRNA from 1 species
CACUUUUAUUUAUGAGCUUGUUGUUCCAAGUAGAACAUGAUAACGACUUACAACAAAUAGAUACCUAAGCAAGUGAGCUGAUAUCCUUAUACAGCUUUAUAGUAUUACUUUCUUUCUUUUUUUCUUUCUUUAUGAAAGAAAAUAAAGAAACCGGGAGAGUAUUACUUAAUUUCUACAAGUUGCAACAAAGAACAAUCAAGCACUAUUGAUAAAAGAUCGACGAAAUAGGUAAGCUAGAACUGUUAAAAUUGAUACAAAUAUGUGUUUUCACAACUCCUCUUGACGCAUUGCAGACUCAAUAGCUUA